rnacentral:tRNA from 1 species
UAGAGAGUGGUGUAGUGGAAGCACUGGGAGUUUUGAUCUCCCCGGGUUGGGUUCAAAUCCCUUCUUUCUAA